GCCGGUGCUUCCAUCACUCACCCGAAGGGCCAAUAGAGUGAGCCCAGUUACCUACUUCCCCCUGAGCAGCAGGCGGCGCCUGGCGUGGCUUGAAGGUCUUUGUUCCCCGCGCGACGGAACUUUACGAGAGGCGCUGGAGCGUGCUCUGCCACCUGCUAAGCCCCGGAGACGCAGUCAAGGGCUCAGCGACACCUUGGGGGUGCGGCGGGCAGAACGUACGGAAAUGGAUGUUAGGCGACUCUACAGCCCACCUUCUAUACCCGCCCCCUUUCGCCUUAGAAUGGAGGGUUACUUUGAAACCCGGAAGCAAUUCACCUCGCUCCGGAACUCACCGCGGGUCACGUGGGGAGCGGUGCGUAACGGGCGCGUGACCCGGCGUCCUGCGGGUCUUCCCCUCCUCAGGGGCACCCAGCAUGCUUUGGGCACGUGGCAGCUUAUGUCCUAAAUAGGAGCAACCCUGGGCCGCUAUCCUGUGAGGGUGGAGACGCUCCCCGCUCCCCGAGACUGGACAGACACCGAGAGGUGGAGCUGAGCUAAUACGAGGCUAAGGGAAUCCCAUGUAUUCCAGUUACCCUGAACUCCCGUACAGCAGAGGAUGCCCCCGAGCUUCGGAGCCACCAUCUCUUACUAGGAUUCCAGUGUACACCUAGAGUCCAAGGAACGACAUGGACUGAGCCUGGAAGGGGGCUUGUCUUGGACGAACCAGCAAGGCCUUUGCACUUUAUGUGGAUCCCUUUCAAGGCUUCUACCUGGAGCAACUGCCCACAGUUCUGCCUUAAGAGUGCCUGAGAGACCUGGCAUCACAGCCUGCCCUCCAAAUCAUCACUCACUCUGCCAGGCACACCAGGUCUUCCUCCCCUUACUCGCCGCACCAAAGAAAUCAAAACCCAAACUGAGAAUACUAGAAAGCAUCACCGUACAGCACGGAAAGAAAUAAUGAAAACAAACCAACAGCCACACACUUGGACUCACCCAGACCCAGGAGCCAGGAGUGUGGGUGAUUGUCAAGUUUCGGGACAGGUCAGCUCUUGGCUGGCCCAUCCCUCCCUUCUUCCCUCUUUCUGGGACUUGAAUGGGGUAGAGAAUUCAGAUUCUCCUUGGGAAUCUCAGCCCUCCUGCCCCAUUACAUCCCACCCCUUCUGCUUAUGUAGAGGCAGACAGGGUAGAACAAGGAGCUCCCAGCCUCUAGGAGAGCCUACAUUCCCCCACAGGGAUUCCAGAGAGUUAGGUAAAAAUAUAUAUAGAGAGAUUUAGAUACUUUUUCAUCAUUUCUGUCUCUCC